CCCAAGUAGUAAUGAUACCUUCUGCCAUAUUGUUGCUGAUAUUACUGCCAGCUUUUGGCCUGGUCCUUUAACUUCUCUGUCACUAACUUGACAUUCAUUCAAUAAUUAUAAUCAGUUUUAGGUAUUCUUCCAUUAGAACCAUCUCUAGUUAUAAUGCCUGAUAAAGCCCACUUCUUCAGAGCUAGUUCCAGUCCAGACAUGAGCUGGAGCUCCAGACGCUGAGCAAGGACAGAGUAAGUAGGAAUAACAUGAGGCGGCCACAGAGUUGGCAGAAGUGAGUGCAAAAGAAUCAGCAAACAAUUACAAGAGGGAGAUAACCGGAGAGGAAAGACCUGCCACUAGAGAAAAAGAGAGACCUGGAAUGUUUGCUCCAGGAUAUCCCCACAUGCAUGGUGUGCUGGCCACUGAGUCUUGGGUGAAGGAGGAGGAAAAGCAGGAAAUGGAGGGAAAGGAAGAAGAAGAAAGGAGCAAAGAUGACAAAUGGGGGAGAAG